UCGCCGCCUGGCCCUUCAACAACCUGCGGUAUGUAAGCUCAGCCCAGCCCAUAUUGGCCCAGAAAGUAUCAAGGUAUUGGACGCGGUACUUCUUGUUUGGAUUCGAUCACCAGCUCUCGAUCCAACCGUCGAUUUCCAAUUCCCCUUCUGCCCACCUAAACAUAAUUGGAUGCCGCGCACGGCUCGGCGGCGAUGGCGAUGGCGAGAGCGAAGCACGGCCUCUUCCUCCUUCUCCACAGCCGUCGCUUCUUCUCCCUCGAUUACCCGCUCUGCCGCUCCCCCAACACCCUGUCUCCAUCUUAUCUAACCGCUGCCGCGCGUGGCUUCUGCUCCGACGGCAUCUCCGACCUCCGCGACCGCAUCCUCCGCCUCUCCGAGAACCCUGCCUCCGUUUCCACUGCCUCUGCUGACAAAGAGGCCGUCCGAUCUGCCGUAUCCGCACUAGCCGACGAGCUUCUCGCCCUGCCCGACGGCCAGGAUCCUGCGGUCUCCCUGGGCUCUGGCUCCUUCGACGCCCUCCUCCGCCUUCCCCCAGCUGGAUUCGCCUCCGUAGAGCUCCUCUCCCGCCUCAAGUCCCGCCCGCUCCUCGCCCUUCAGGUUUUUAACUGGAGAAAACGGCAGGCUGAUGCCGAGAUCCCGAUGCUCCCUGAGGAGUAUUACAAGGCCAUCACCCUGGCGAGCCGCACCAAGAACGUCGAUCUAGCCGCGGAGCUCUUCUCCCAAGCCAUAGCUGACGGCAUCCGUGAGGUCUGCCUCUAUAAUGCCCUCAUGUCCACCUAUAUGAACAAUGGCCUCACCAAGAAGGCGAUCUGGGUAUUUGAGGUCCUGAAGCAAGAUGCCGAGUGCAAGCCCACCAUUGUCAGCUACAACAUUCUGCUUUCUGUAUUUGGCCGCUCCAUGCUCGUGGAGCAUAUAGAGACCACCCUCCAAGCAAUCAAUGAUUCGGAGCUCUCCUACACCAUCACCACCUACAACACAGCCAUAGCCGCAUAUCUUACGGCAUGGAUGUGGGAUAAAAUGGAGGGGAUGUACCAAUCUAUGCUGGAGGGGCCUGUCAAACCUGAUGCUGGUACCCUCCUCCUGAUGUUGAGGGGUUAUGCCUACUCAAACAAUUUAGAGAAGAUGGAAAAGACUUAUGAUCAAGUAAAGGAGACAGUCAAUAAUCGGCAGUGGCCUUUGAUCUAUGCAAUGAUAUGUGCUUAUACUAAGAGUUCUCACCCUGAUCGAGUCAAAAGAGUGGAAGCCUUGAUGAAGUUGAUUCCAGAUGAUGACUAUAAACCUUGGGUCACUGUACUUUUAAUCAAGAUGUAUGCACAGGAGAGCAUGAUUGAAGCAAUGGAAGGAUUAAUAUCCAAGGCAUUCCAACGACACAUUAUAGUGACUACUGCAGGGAUAAUGCGUUCCAUCAUAUCAAAUUACUUCAGAAAUAAUGCGGUGGAUCGGCUAGCUGGGUUCAUCAGACAGGCAGAAUAUGCAGGGUGGCGGCUUUUUCGAUCACUGUAUCACUGCAAGAUGGUGAUGUAUGGGCAGCAGAAUCGCCUGGAGGAGAUGCUUGGUGUUCUGGAUGAGAUGGAGAAUUUCAGGUUUAGUCGAACAAGGAAAACUUUUUUGAUAAUGUACAAGGCAUAUUACAACACAGGGAGGAGGCCAGAGGCAGCAACGGUUAUUGGGAUGAUGUGGAAGCAUGGUUAUGGCAAUGAUGAGGAUGCUUUUGUUUUGUGAAGUUUGAAUAGAUACUGCAGAUGGAAUUAUUAGUUUAUGAUAUACACAAUGAUUCGGAUGAUACAACAGAUGAUUUCUCCAAAACUAAGAAUGCAGACCUUUUAUAGAAAUUGACUAGGGAUUGCUGAUGGAAUUAUUUAGAUUAAUAACAGACUAGCAGAUUAUGAAGUUCUACUUGACCAAUGCUGGGAAUUUGCAUAAUCUAGCUGAUUGGUCAAAUGUUAAAGUGAAGAAUGGCUGUUCGUUUUGCUUGAUUGACUUCUUGUGCAUAUCCCACAUUUGUAUCUAUAGAAGAGCUAUGACAAACCCCCAAGUAAUUCAGACAUGCCGGAUGCUGUUGUACCAAGAAACAGGACAUUACUUUUUUUUUAUUCUCCUUUUUUGUGGUUACUGAAUCCAGAAAUCAAAUAAAGUCAGACAUUGAAGAAAUCUUCUCACAUGAUAUCAUCAUCUCAAGCACCAGAAGAUAAGAGAGGUUUGAGGAAAGCCUUCUGUGGGAUGAUCUCAAUGGACCAUAAUAAGAAGAUGGAUAAAAAAGAUCAAGAAGCCCAAGUAGCAAUCUUCCAGUCAAGGACAGAGACAAACAUGUUCAUGUUGCAGGAAUUGUGCCUCAAGCGUUGUUUUCUUGUGACCUUCAAGCUUACCUACGCUGCAUAAAAGAUUGCAACAGUGAGACUGUGGAGCUGAAGGAUUAAACCAUCUUUUCUGGAGCAUGGCUGACCAACCAACCAACCAUUUGCCAAGGAAGAAGAAGCCUCACGAGUCAUCAAGAGAAGGGCCAAAGUGUCCCCUUCGUGUCUGCUGGCAGUGGCUGGCGUUUAAUGCCAAUGUAAAGCCAUUCGUACGCUGUCACCAACGAGAACGCCAAGAAAAGGUUCCAAAUGGUUGGUGGAUUCUACACGACAAAACUCAUGUUGCCAGCUCCCAGAGGCAUGACAAUAACAGCAGCUCCGGCGAAGGCUGCCACUGCCAAAGAAGCAGACCGACUGUGAUCCAAAUGCUCUCUCUCUCGUCUGUGGAGUGCAUGCUACAGGACAAAGGAGAAGUCUCUCGCCUGGGACAACUUCACUUCGUCUUGUUCUCCCCACACCCUCUCCAUUACUGUUCCUUAGACUCAAUCAGUUUAUGUCCCACCGGUGCUGGGAGUAGCCUAAAGGAAAGGACUAAUGAUGCUGUGCUUAAAACUAAGCUGUGGUGGAAAAGAAUUACGUGCUGUCGAGAGUCAUUUACUCGGUGAUUCCUUCUGCAAAAGAGAAAAUUGCAAGUGACUUGUGCUUUUUUUUGUAGCUGAAGCAAGUUUUCAGGGCAUCAAUCAUUGAUGAGAAGAUGGAAACAAUAGCUUGGGAUAUUAAUUGUGAUGUCUGAGAUCAUAUCAUCACGGAUGGGCCAUAGCUUUAGAUUGCAUAUGAUCUGGUACCAGUUGCCAUUCUCA